CAACUGAAUCCAAUUCAAUUAGACUUGAUCCAAAAAUAAUUAUUCAAUCAAAUUAAGUUAAUUAAUAAUUAAAUCACUAAUUAAAUCUCUCAUAAAUAUUGAGUCCAAAUCCGAUGGGCAAUCGGGUAUCAAAGUCCAUCGAUAUGAAACUUUGAUCGAAAGUCCCAAACCAGUGGGACUCUUGACCCCGAUACCCAAAAUGUGUGGUACUCAUGAUUAGAGAAUCUUGAUUCUUGAUCACAGAGUCUCAGACAUAUAGGACUCAUAGUCCACAAGCAUUAGGACUCUUCAUCAACCAACAGAUC
rnacentral:lncRNA from 1 species